rnacentral:rRNA from 1 species
GUUUGGUUAAGUUAGAAAGGGCGCACGGUGGAUGCCUUGACACUAGGAGUCGAUGAAGGACGGGACUAACGCCGAUAUGCUUCGGGGAGCUGUAAGUAAGCUUUGAUCCGAAGAUUUCCGAAUGGGGAAACCCACCAUACGUAAUGGUAUGGUAUCCUUAUCUGAAUACAUAGGGUAAGGAAGACAGACCCAGGGAACUGAAACAUCUAAGUACCUGGAGGAAGAGAAAGCAAAUGCGAUUUCCUGAGUAGCGGCGAGCGAAACGGAACAUAGCCCAAACCAAGAGGCUUGCCUCUUGGGGUUGUAGGACAUUCUAUACGGAGUUACAAAGGAACGAGGUAGACGAAGCGACCUGGAAAGGUCCGUCGUAGAGGGUAACAACCCCGUAGUCGAAACUUCGUUCUCUCUUGAAUGUAUCCUGAGUACGGCGGAACACGUGAAAUUCCGUCGGAAUCUGGGAGGACCAUCUCCCAAGGCUAAAUACUCCCUAGUGAUCGAUAGUGAACCAGUACCGUGAGGGAAAGGUGAAAAGCACCCCGGAAGGGGAGUGAAAGAGAUCCUGAAACCGUGUGCCUACAAAUAGUCAGAGCCCGUUAACGGGUGAUGGCGUGCCUUUUGUAGAAUGAACCGGCGAGUUACGAUCCCGUGCGAGGUUAAGCUGAAGAGGCGGAGCCGCAGCGAAAGCGAGUCUGAAUAGGGCGUUUAGUACGUGGUCGUAGACCCGAAACCAGGUGAUCUACCCAUGUCCAGGGUGAAGUUCAGGUAACACUGAAUGGAGGCCCGAACCCACGCACGUUGAAAAGUGCGGGGAUGAGGUGUGGGUAGCGGAGAAAUUCCAAUCGAACCUGGAGAUAGCUGGUUCUCCCCGAAAUAGCUUUAGGGCUAGCCUUAAGUGUAAGAGUCUUGGAGGUAGAGCACUGAUUGGACUAGGGGUCCUCAUCGGAUUACCGAAUUCAGUCAAACUCCGAAUGCCAAUGACUUAUCCUUAGGAGUCAGACUGCGAGUGAUAAGAUCCGUAGUCAAAAGGGAAACAGCCCAGACCGCCAGCUAAGGUCCCAAAGUGUGUAUUAAGUGGAAAAGGAUGUGGAGUUGCUUAGACAACUAGGAUGUUGGCUUAGAAGCAGCCACCAUUUAAAGAGUGCGUAAUAGCUCACUAGUCGAGUGACUCUGCGCCGAAAAUGUACCGGGGCUAAAUACACCACCGAAGCUGCGGAUUGAUACCAAUGGUAUCAGUGGUAGGGGAGCGUUCUAAGGACAGUGAAGUCAGACCGGAAGGACUGGUGGAGUGCUUAGAAGUGAGAAUGCCGGUAUGAGUAGCGAAAGACGGGUGAGAAUCCCGUCCACCGAAUGCCUAAGGUUUCCUGAGGAAGGCUCGUCCGCUCAGGGUUAGUCAGGACCUAAGCCGAGGCCGACAGGCGUAGGCGAUGGACAACAGGUUGAUAUUCCUGUACCACCUCUUUAUCGUUUGAGCAAUGGAGGGACGCAGAAGGAUAGAAGAAGCGUGCGAUUGGUUGUGCACGUCCAAGCAGUUAGGCUGAUAAGUAGGCAAAUCCGCUUAUCGUAAAGGCUGAGCUGUGAUGGGGAAGCUCCUUAUGGAGCGAAGUCUUUGAUUCCCCGCUGCCAAGAAAAGCUUCUAGCGAGAUAAAAGGUGCCUGUACCGCAAACCGACACAGGUAGGCGAGGAGAGAAUCCUAAGGUGUGCGAGAGAACUCUG